AUGUGGCAGAGCGGGCUGGAGCUGCAGGAGAGCCUGCAGGCAUCCUGGGUAGAAGUGCACUUUAGCAACAGUGGGAACGGGAGCAGGUUCCAGCCUCAGUUUCUAUUUAUAAUGGUGACAUGGAGAAAAUACUGCUGGACGCCCAGCAUGAGUCUGGACCAAGCAGCUUCAAGAGUUCUCACAGCCCACCUCCCUCACAGACACAAGAUAUUAAUAGAGCUUCCGAAACAGAUACCCACAGCAUUGGAGGAAAAAACACCUCUCAGUCUGAGGAAGAUUAUAUUGAGAGAAGGAGAGAAGUUGAGAGCAUCUUGAAGAAAAACUCAGAUUGGAUAUAGGCUUGGUCAAGUCAGCCAGAAAAUAUUCCCCCCAAGGAGGUCCUCUGUAAACACCUGAAGCACAGCUACUCCCAGCAUGAGGAACACGAGUGUUAUGAAGAAAGGGGGCAUAUUCUUGGCAGAAUUCCUAAAGGUUUUUCUUCUGUCUCUGCUGCUCUCUCAUCUGCUGGCAAUUGGAUUGGGGAUCUGUAUUGGAAGGCAUCUGACAACCUCUACCAGCAACUUUUGAUGA